rfam:Triticum urartu cultivar G1812 contig402579, whole genome shotgun sequence.
AAAAAAGUGGAUUGAUUUGCGUUUUUAUCUCGUCCGAGAUAGACAAAGAGAUUGCAACCACAGAAAAAAAGUGCUAAAACCAUUCGA